UGGGGAAUAUUGGACAAUGGGCGAAAGCCUGAUCCAGCAAUGCCGCGUGAGUGAUGAAGGCCUUAGGGUUGUAAAGCUCUUUUACCAGGGAUGAUAAUGACAGUACCUGGAGAAUAAGCUCCGGCUAACUCCGUGCCAGCAGCCGCGGUAAUACGGAGGGAGCUAGCGUUGUUCGGAAUUACUGGGCGUAAAGCGCGCGUAGGCGGAUCUUUAAGUCAGGGGUGAAAUCCCGGGGCUCAACCUCGGAAUUGCCUUUGAUACUGGAGAUCUUGAGUCCGAGAGAGGUGAGUGGAACUCCGAGUGUAGAGGUGAAAUUCGUAGAUAUUCGGAAGAACACCAGUGGCGAAGGCGGCUCACUGGCUCGGUACUGACGCUGAGGUGCGAAAGCGUGGGGAGCAAACAGGAUUAGAUACCCCCGUAGUCC
rnacentral:rRNA from 1 species